UCCCUGGUGGUCCAGUGGCUAAGCCUCUGUGUUCCCAAUGCGGGAGGCCCAGGUUCGAUCCCUGGUCAGGGAG
rfam:Ovis aries breed Texel chromosome 4, whole genome shotgun sequence.